rnacentral:rRNA from 1 species
AUUGAACGCUGGCGGCAUGCCUUACACAUGCAGGUCGAACGGUAACAGGUCUUCGGACGCUGACGAGUGGCGAACGGGUGAGUAAUACAUCGGAACGUGCCCAGUCGUGGGGGAUAACUACUCGAAAGAGUAGCUAAUACCGCAUACGAUCUGAGGAUGAAAGCGGGGGACCUUCGGGCCUCGCGCGAUUGGAGCGGCCGAUGGCAGAUUAAGUAGUUGGUGGGAUAAAAGCUUACCAAGCCGACGAUCUGUAGCUGGUCUGAGAGGACGACCAGCCACACUGGGACUGAGACACGGCCCAGACUCCUACGGGAGGCAGCAGUGGGGAAUUUUGGACAAUGGGCGAAAGCCUGAUCCAGCAAUGCCGCGUGCAGGAUGAAGGCCUUCGGGUUGUAAACUGCUUUUGUACGGAACGAAAAAGUCUCCUCUAAUACAGGAGGCCCAUGACGGUACCGUAAGAAUAAGCACCGGCUAACUACGUGCCAGCAGCCGCCGCCG